rnacentral:rRNA from 1 species
GUGGGGGAUAACAUUUGGAAACCAGAUGCUAAUACCGCAUAAAACCUAGCACCGCAUGGGUGCAAGGUUGAAAGAUGGUUUCGGCUAUCACUUUAGGAUGGACCCGCGGUGCAUUAGUUAGUUGGUGAGGUAAAGGCUCACCAAGACCGUGAUGCAUAGCCGACCUGAGAGGGUAAUCGGCCACACUGGGACUGAGACACGGCCCCAGACUCCUACGGGAGGCAGCAGUAGGGAAUCUUCCACAAUGGACGAAAGUCUGAUGGAGCAACGCCGCGUGAGUGAAGAAGGUUUUCGGAUCGUAAAACUCCUGUUGUUGGAGAAGAACGUAUUUGAUAGUAACUGAUCAGGUAGUGACGGUAUCCAACCAGAAAGCCACGGCUAACUACGUG